CGACGCCGCGUGGAGGAUGAAGGUCUUCGGAUUGUAAACUCCUGUCAUUUGGGAACAAUGUGCAUUGGUUAACUGCCGGUGUAUUGAUAGUACCAGAAGAGGAAGAGACGGCUAACUCUGUGCCAGCCACUUCGGUGACUGAGCGGGCUGGCAAGGCGCAUA
rnacentral:rRNA from 1 species